UACAGAGGGGGCAAGCGUUGUUCGGAAUUACUGGGCGUAAAGCGCACGUAGGUGGCGACGUAAGUCGGGUGUGAAAGCCCCGGGCUCAACCUGGGAAUUGCAUUCGAGACUGCAUUGCUGGAGUACGGAAGAGGAAGGCGGAAUUCCCGGUGUAGCGGUGAAAUGCGUAGAUAUCGGGAGGAACAUCAGUGGCGAAGGCGGCCUUCUGGUCCAGUACUGACACUCAAGUGCGAAAGCGUGGGGAGCAGACAGG
rnacentral:rRNA from 1 species